rnacentral:rRNA from 1 species
CCUACGGGUGGCUGCAGUGGGGAAUAUUGGGCAAUGGAGGCAACCCUGACCCAGCAACGCCGCGUGAAUGAUGAAGGCCUUCGGAUUGUAAAGUUCUUUUCUUCGGGACGAAGAAAGUGACGGUACCUUAGGAAUAAGCCACGGCUAACUACGUGCCAGCAGCCGCGGUAAUACGUAGGAGGCAAGCGUUAUCCGGAAUGACUGGGCGUAAAGGGUGAGUAGGUGGUUGGACAAGUUAGACGCGAAAUUCCGGGGCUCAACCCUGGAACUGCGUCUAAAACUGUUGGUCUUGAGUGAAGGAGAGGCAGUCGGAAUUCCGGGUGUAGCGGUGGAAUGCGUAGAUAUAAGGAGGAACACCAGUGGCGAAGGCGGAUUGCUAGACUGUAACUGACACUGAGGCACGAAAGCGUGGGGAGCAAACAGGAUUAGAUACCCCAGUAGUC